rnacentral:rRNA from 1 species
UCGGGAAUUUUGGGCAAUGGGCGAAAGCCUGACCCAGCAACGCCGCGUGAGGGAUGAAGUAUUUCGGUAUGUAAACCUCGAAAGAAUGGGAAGAAUAAAUGACGGUACCAUUUAUAAGCUCCGGCUAACUACGUGCCAGCAGCCGCGGGAAUACGUAGGGAGCAAGCGUUGUUCGGACUUACUGGGCGUAAAGGGCGCGUAGGCGGCGCGGUAAGUCACUUGUGAAAUCUCUGAGCUUAACUCAGAACGGCCAAGUGAUACUGCUGUGCUAGAGUGCGGAAGAGGCAACCGGAAUUCCUGGUGUAGCGGUGAAAUGCGUAGAUAUCAAGAGGAACACCUGAGGCGAAGGCGGGUUGCUGGGCCGACACUGACGCUGAUGCGCGAAAGCCAGGGGAGCAAACG